rnacentral:lncRNA from 1 species
GUAACCGCUAAGUCCACAACACAAUCUUCUUGACAAGGUCUCUUCCUCUUGCUCUUCUUCCUGCUUCCAUUUGGUGGUAGAGAAAGAGGUCGGGGUCAAUCAAGAGAAAAAAUUUUUUGCAUGUAGAAGCCACAAUAUUGAAGAUUAAGCACCUUUCCUAACAGGAGAUAUUCUUUUGUCUGCAAGCAGUGGGCUAUCCUACUGUCUCAGGACACAGGUGGAGAGUGCCCGAAGAUCCGGGCCUGACUCUCCGACAACGAAG